GAGCCGGGUGCCCCCCUCCCACCCACUCCUCCCGGCGGCGCGGACCUCUCCCGCGGAGCCCUGGGUCUGCAUUCCUUUGCGUUUACCACGGACUUGGGGCGGGAUCAAAGGGAAAGUGGCCCGAGCCUGUUUAAUCAAGGGCUUGUGGACCGAAACCAAGCCUGAGGUGGCGGAGGGCACGCGGGUGAGGGGCCGAGGACGAAAAAGGGUCGUUCCUGGGCGCUGCGCCUUCCCUCCAGCAGGGCGCGGAGCCUCAGGCACCGGGAGGGCUGCACUGACCCGCAGUUCUGGCAGAGGUCAGGCCAGACUGCGCCCGGCGCGGGGAGACACCGAGAAGGCCAGCCUUUCUUCGGGAGGCUGCUUAGCGCUUGUGACCAUAUUUGGUCUGGUGAGAAGGCAUCUUGGCUGCUUGGCCUUCAAUUGUCUGCUAGAGCGCAGACGGUGCCCAGAAAGUGCCUCUGUUGCCGGAGGCGCAGCUUCGCCCACGGGUGGGUUGUAAACAACCUUCAAAUCAUUCACCAAUCCUUCAUUUCCUCCACGGGGUGAAGGGCCAGAAGGGGUAAAGAAGAAACUGGAUCAAAGCUGGGUGCUGGAAGGGGAGAGCAGUUGCGCCCUCCUCCCCCCGCGACAUCCGCGCGGGUAGUGGGAGGAUUGGAAUGUCCCUGACGCCCUCCAGGGAGCCAGGAUGGAACACAGGCAGGUGGCUGGGAGUAGAGAGGGUGCGCCAGUGACCCGGAAAAAGCCACCCACCCUCCCACUGCCUGGAUAAGGGCAAGGGGAAGACCCCCGCCUCGGGGAGGAGGUCUGGCCUGGAGAGACAGCUGCGGGGAAGUGGGAGGCGGCCUCGCCCUCCGCAGCAGCUCAAUUCCUUCCCUCCCUCGUCCCUUUUCCCUUACCCGAAAAGAAGAGAUGGCUGCAAGAGAACACAGCAGUCGCAACAUGAGGAAAUGAGCUAUGGAACUGGAGGCCAGCCAUGACUAGGAGCAGAUGGUCACUAAUUCAGAAGCUGUGGGACUGAUUUGAUGGUGAAAGGAUGGAAACUUGAGACCUUGCCUGCUCUAGGAAGGCCUUCACUGCAGAAGGAAGGCUGACUGGAGACACCUCUGCAACCUCCCUACCAAAUAGCAGCAGAACACAGCAAGCCCUGCCCAGAGGGCAGAAUCGUGAGCAAAUAAAAUAGGUCACUCUGACCCUCCACAUCCAAUGGUGUCACUUCUGCAGAUGCCAACAGGCAGUCUGGGACACAGCUCAAGUCUUCACUCCCAAGCUCCAGGACCCGAGAUCACAGCAGACUGGGGUGCCGCCAACGUGCCUUCAGAGUGACACUGACCCGGAGAAGGAGACCAGAGGGCUGGGAGUCGGAAGUCCUGGCCACCACACUCCUCCCUGCCUCCCUGGGACAGAGUGGCCUCAGCACCUCCCAGCCAGGGGGCAAUGGUUCUUCCAGCCUGCUGGUCCCUGGACACAGGAGUCUCAAGUACCUAGGUGGCCUUCGUAGGCCAUAGUGCACUGGUACCCCUGCUGUGUCCUGUUGCAAGAGUCCAGAGUGAGGCUGACUUGCUUCUAGCCCUUUGUUUGGGACCCAUCCUUCCUCCCAUCAAUGGCAUGGCCUCGCAGCAAGGUCCCUAUAGAAGGUAGCACUGCUCCCUGAAGCCAGGACCUCACCUGCACAGCAUGCCUGCUACAGCUCUGCCUCAGCCACCUCCACUGUCCACACUACCCACGCCUUGUCCAUGGCUUCUGGGGGGUGGCCUUCACACCUUGUGCUCCCACCCA